ensembl:snoRNA SNORD16 Small nucleolar RNA SNORD16
UGCCGUGAUGGUGUAAUUUGCGUCUUACUCUGUGUCUAGUGACAGAAUGCCUGCUGUCAUAGGCUAGCACAGAUGGGUGGUGAAUAUUGAGUCUGAGCA